CGGGGUAGCUCAGUCGGUAGAGCAACGCACUCGUAAUGCGUAGGUCGCCAGUUCGAGUCUGGCCUCCGG
rnacentral:tRNA from 1 species